UACGUAGGGCGCAAGCGUUGUCCGGAAUUAUUGGGCGUAAAGAGCUCGUAGGCGGUUUGUCGCGUCUGCUGUGAAAACCUAAGGCUCAACCUUGGGCUUGCAGUGGGUACGGGCAGACUAGAGUGCGGUAGGGGUGACUGGAAUUCCUGGUGUAGCGGUGGAAUGCGCAGAUAUCAGGAGGAACACCGAUGGCGAAGGCAGGUCACUGGGCCGAUACUGACGCUGGAGGAGCGAAAAGCGUGGGGAGCGAACAGG
rnacentral:rRNA from 1 species